UUCUCACUCACCAGAGCAUCCUGGUAGACGUUGGUCCACUGCACCUGCUUGGCUCUGGGACCAGCCAGCACCAUGGGACGACCCAGAACAUCCAGUGGGCCACAAGCAGCAGCAUCCCGGUCCUGCCAAGCCAUAAAGCCUCCAGUCCUGAGACACUCAAGGCCGUUUUUCAUCAUUAUGAAGGAGCUAUUAAAAACACAUUAAGGGUGUCAAUGGCACAACGUGCAAACAGGCUAUUCUCCCAGAGGCUUUACUGUCAUCGCCGGCACUGUGAGAAUGUCCCACAGCGAUGGUGAAUAGAGGUGAGGGGUUAAGUCUACUAGUAAUACAUCAAAUUCACUGUAUUCUCUUGUUCUCUGGAGCUUCCUCUCACAACAGCUGAGAUGUGUGUUUUUUUUUUUUUAUAAACACCCUAUUGAUCUUUGUCAUUUUGGAGAUGGUGUGUAAUUUGGUAAAAUUAUUGAGUGAGUGACCUCAUGACAUAUGAAACGGUUGCACAGUUUAGAGGGAAAAGAAGCCUGCCGGGGAUGGGACGAUCGCACUGCAAGCCUUCAGUGUCUUGUUAUUAUAAAGACCAGAGACAGAAAAAUGAUUCUCUAAUUAAACCGACUGUGUAUAAUUCUGCAAACACUUACUAAAAGCCAACUUCCUCUUUAGUAUCCUACUCAGCAGUAUGUGAGUUGUAAUGCCAAAUGCCUUUAUGUAUCAACACACUGUAUUCAAAUGUAAAAACAGGCUCAGUGGGAAUGCAGCAGCUCUCUCUUGGGGCCGAACGUUAAUUCGGAAAACAUUAGACGUUUUCACAAGAUGACAAAUUUCCAUCCAGUUUGCAGCAAAAACGGAACCAUUAUCACAGGUUUCUGACCCUUGUAUCUGUCCUCGAUUGCACAAAAGGGGCGCCCUGUAUAAGCACGCAGCUAUUUCAGUAUUAUGCUUUCGACCGUUUGUUUUUCCAUCGCCUGAACAGUGAGGUGCUGACAGGCGUAACCUAUUCUAUUAUUAGCUCAAUAAAAGUCCGGUUUAACGCGCCACAGGGAGAUAUUCCAUCAGGACAAUGACAGCCAGACCUUUUCACGGGAUAUAGGGGAAAUUUUCCGCCUGGCUAGAAUGAUCUAGGAAACAUAAAAAGUCAGCAACUGAAGAUAUGUGGUCCAAAGGAACCGGAACCAUACAAAUUCCAAUAGCCUCCCUACACGUUGAUUAAAUGCUAUUGUCUCCCUGGGUACCGUAACAACUACGACGGCAGAGAGUAAACUCAUCAGUACGUUCCCUCUAAAGACAAACAUUCUAACUAAAGCCUGGCCUGUUAUUGUUACUCCACUGAGAUUCUAUACAAAGAAGAAAGAAUGGAUGAAGUAAGCCUCAACCAUGCAGAAACAGAGAAGAAGGUGCCACGUCUUUUUAAAAACUAUUCCACUCUUCCUUCCUACAUGAUCACAUGACUCUGGACGGUAAGAAUAAUAAUAAUUUUGCCAUCUGUGGUCCAUCUGUUAUUUGAAAGUUGCCAUCUUAGUCAAGUGAGACUAUCCGAUGAGUGUCUGAUGUUGAAGGGCAGUGUAUGAUUAAAUAAUGUGUCUUCUAGGCCUAUACAGAGAGCCGUAGUCACCCACCUUCAGAAAACCUAUUAGAGUAAGUGGCAGUUUUCAGAAUAUAAAUAUGCCAGAGUUAAUGGAACAGCUGACAGUAUAUUCUGGGGCCUGAUCGCUCACCGGGGCUGAGGCGGGGUGGUGGUGGUGGGUAGGAGGAGAUGGGAGGGAAUUGGGGUAGGAGAUAGGAAGGGAGAGAGCAAGGGAGGAGGGGUGAGCAAGUAGCUCCCCCACCACAUAUCGUGAGUCAAUUUCUACAGCUGGAAUGAGGUUAUCCCAAGGGCCUCUAGAAGCUUGGAGGGCCUCAAGCAAGUGUAGGGGGUGGCAGGUCCGGGGUGUGUGAGGAACCCGAGGGUGUGUGUGUGUGUGUGUGUGUGUGUGUGUGUGUGAGAGAGAAAGAGAUAGAAAAGAAAGUCUUUUCCUCAGAGCGUCCACAAACAUUAGCAUAGAAAGACCACAACUCUAUUUGUUAUCACUCCAUCUCCAACUCUGUCACUUCCCUUAUGUAGUCAUCCAGCUGUGUCGUCUUCUGUCCCUUUGUCAUGGAAUAAAAAGCCUAUCUACAAUCUGUAUAAUUAUCAUCAAAGAGACCAUGAAGGAAGAAUGAACUACUUUCUUGCUUAAAAGUGCUGUUUUUUGUGGAUUCACAAAGGUGUAUACAAGCUUGUCCACACUAAAAUUUUUUGGGGGACUUUAUAAUGCCUUUAUUUGAUAGAGCAGCUGAAGAGUGACACAAAAGUGGGGGGAGAAAGAGGAUAACAUGCAGCAAAGGGCUGCAGGUUGGACUCCAACCCAGCAGCCUUAGUACGUUGGGGGGUGCACUCAACCGAGUGAGCGACCAGGGUGACCUGCACUGCACAUAUCUCACCUGGGUGUUGAUUCUGAUGGCUCCAAUCGAUGGAAUUUCAAAGUAGUAACCUGAAGAUUAAGAAAAGAGAAUCAAUACACUAUUCCAACAGAAAGCUGCUGUAUCCAGCCUGCUUCAUCGUGCCUGCAUGUCUCAUAUUCUGUCUACAUUUUCAAGAGUCACAGUGUGUACAAAAGUGAUCCAUUUAUAGAUUGGAGUCUAAUCUCUUCCAUGUUAUUAGGUACAUGUAAUGCUAUCGUCUCCAGCUGAUGAUGUUGUGCCAAGCAGGCACGACAGAGCUUGUGGCCAUUGACCUCUCCACACUCAUGUGCUGUAGGAUGUAAAUGUGGAGGCUCAUUGUGAAUGCUGAGCCCCAGGCACUGCUGCUGCUGAUUAGGAAUGGAGGAGAGUGACCGACUGGGUCAAUAACCACGCCGCUCCCCAAGUUAUUAAAGUCAUGAGUGUUUAUACAAAGAGCCGCGAAAUGGAGACAGCAUCCCCAGAAUGUUAAAAGGCAGAGAUGACUCUCAUUAUUUUGAUACAUUAUGCACUUUGCUACAGUGGUUUGUGUCAAGAUUUGCGUUCUCUGUCUCAUUCAUUUGCACAUGCGAGCAUGCAGAUAUUAGGCACUCGCGUGCACGUGCAUACACAUCUCUGCACACACAAUCUAUGUCUCUCUCACACACACACACACACACACACACACACACACACACACGCAGGGCACAGCUAUUUGUCAUAGUUUUGUUCAGAGUAGUAGUUUGUCCCAGUGCUUUUGGCAGAGUACCAAAGAGGUGUCAUCUGUCGUUGUAGGGCAAAGCUUGGCGAGAGAUGAAGACAGGAUAAUAUAGGUGAUAACUAUAGAAGUGAGACUGUGAUGUCGAUCUGCAGGUUAACAACAGAGAUCAGCUGUGUGAGGGGCAAUUAUGAAUUUAAUCAAUAACCUAUUUUCCACGUGAAACUUGUUUACAUAAUGCCUCUGUGCUAUUAGAAGUCAGCCUUCCUCAAAUGUCAUCAUAUAUUAUGCCUUGAAGUAACUGUUAUGUAGGUUAAGUACGAUGUAGAUAUUAUAAGUAUAUCCUAAUGCAAAUAUGAGUAAGAUAGAAGUUUACCCAAUAAACUCUUCCAACAAA